UCUGCCUCUAUUCAAUGGACACUUGAUAGAUUAUGAAUAUUCUAUUUAACUGAUGUGGUGUCAUUUUACGACUCGGCUCGGGGAAUGCAAGAUCUGGAAGCGUUAAUCUGAUGAUUCUAUGAGCUAAUCUCGUUUGAAAACGGCGUGACAACACAACCACACAAAGUACCAUCACUCGAAACUUCUAGUUGAACGAAUCAGAAGGAUUCGGAUUGUGCUUUCAGAGAGGGUUUGAGUUACUUCUAAUAAAAAAAAAAGUCCUCCAGUGGCCCAUAUAUGCACUUCCAAAUCAUAAAGGGAAGCCCAACUUCAGAGCCCUCCCUGCCUCUCAUCCUUCAGAGACAUGACGGAGCUCGGCUCCUUUGGAAAACUAGAAUUAUUCACCAAAAUGAAGACAUGGGGUCAGCCAGAGUGGAGCAACGAAGGCUCCGUUGAAUUGAAUGAAUGCGAGGGAGAAGUCUCUACUUCCUGCCUGAAUCACACUGUCAUAAAUUUGGGUAGGGUACCCUAAACAGUGUUAGAGGCCACCCAAAAGCUCGUGUGAGCAAUUACUCCCAACUCAAGAGACAAACACAUGCACUCUCGUGUUCUGUUUCUAUCGGUUAUUUUUAACAAGGGACGGUAGGUAUGCUAAACACAUGACAGACAAUGUGGUUUAGUUUACUACAUUAUUUAAUGCCAAACAAUGUGGUUGUUGCUAAACAGACAGACGCAGCUACUCCUCUCAUUGUUCUUCAUGUCUCGGUGGUUUCCAGUUCAGCUAUGACAAUAAAUAGUCUUCUAUCUCCAA